rnacentral:rRNA from 1 species
AUGCCAAGCGGGCGCUCUUCGCCGGCGGGGACGACCAGGACCUGCUCUUCCCUGGCAUCUUCACCCCCAAGGGCUCUGGCCCCAGGAAGAUCCCCAGGUCGCCCUACAAGGUGCUGGAUGCACCCGCAUUGCAGGACGACUUCUACCUCAACCUCGUGGAUUGGUCUUCGCACAAUGUCCUCUCGGUCGGAUUGGGGAAUUGCGUCUACCUGUGGAAUGCAUGCAGCAGCAAGCUCUGCGAUUUGGGGGCGGACGACACCGUUUGUUCCGUGA